rnacentral:rRNA from 1 species
GACGAACGCUGGCGGCGUGCUUAACACAUGCAAGUCGAGCGGUAAGGCCUCUUCGGGGGUCCACGAGCGGCGAACGGGUGCGUAACACGUGGGUGACCUGCCCUCAGCUCUGGGAUAAGCCUGGGAAACUGGGUCUAAUACCGGUAAUGACCUUUCCUCGCAUGGGGUUUGGUGGAAAGUUUUUUCGGCUGGGGAUGGGCCCGCGGCCUAUCAGCUUGUUGGUGGGGUGAUGGCCUACCAAGGCGACGACGGGAAGCCGGCCUGAGAGGACGACCGGCAAACCUGGACGUGAGGCACGGCUCGGGAUCCUACGGGAAGGAGCGGUGGGGUAUAUUGGGCAAUGGGCGGGAGCGAGGCGGGGCGACGCCGCGUGAAGGAUGACGGCUUUGGAGUAGUAAACCUCUUUCGACCCCGACGAAUUUGGACGGUAGGGGUAGAAGAAGCACCGGCCAACUACGUG